rnacentral:rRNA from 1 species
UAGUCCACGCCGUAAACGAUGAUCACUCGCUGUCUGCGAUACACAGUAGGCGGCUGAGCGAAAGCAUUAAGUGAUCCACCUGGGGAGUACGAUCGCAAGGUUGAAACUCAAAGGAAUUGACGGGGGCCCGCACAAGCGGAGGAACAUGUGGUUUAAUUCGAUGAUACGCGAGGAACCUUACCUGGGCUAGAAUGCGACUGAUAUCUCAAGAGAUUGGGAGUUCUUCGGACAGGAAGCAAGGUGCUGCAUGGUUGUCGUCAGCUCGUGCCGUGAGGUGUUGGGUUAAGUCCCGCAACGAGCGCAACCCCUGCCUAUAGUUGCCAGCAAGUAAUGUUGGGGACUCUAUAGGGACUGCCUGCGCAAGCAGAGAGGAAGGAGGGGACGACGUCAAAUCAUCAUGGCCCUUACGCCCAGGGCUACACACGUGCUACAAUGGGGAGUACAGAGGGUAGCGACAUAGUAAUAUGAAGCCAAUCUCAAAAAGCU